rnacentral:rRNA from 1 species
GACGAACCGUGCGAGCGUUGUUCGGAAUCACUGGGCUUAAAGGGCGCGUAGGCGGGCCAUAAAGUCAGGGGUGAAAUCCUCCAGCUUAACUGGAGAACUGCCUUUGAUACUGAUGGUCUCGAGUAAGGUAGGGGCAUGCGGAACUGAUGGUGGAGCGGUGAAAUGUGUUGAUAUCAUCAGGAACUCCGGUGGCGAAGGCGGCAUGCUGGACCUUCACUGACGCUGAGGCGCGAAAGCUAGGGGAGCGAACGGG